rfam:Pan troglodytes isolate Yerkes chimp pedigree #C0471 (Clint) chromosome 2A, whole genome shotgun sequence.
UCCUUGGCUUUUCUAGAAGCCACAUACAUUUCUUGAUUCUUGGCCU